rnacentral:rRNA from 1 species
AGCGAACGCUGGCGGCAGGCCUAACACAUGCAAGUCGAACGAAGUCUUCGGACUUAGUGACGGACGGGUGAGUAACACGUGGGAACGUGCCUUUAGGUUCGGAAUAACUCAGGGAAACUUGUGCUAAUACCGAAUGUGCCCUUCGGGGGAAAGAUUUAUCGCCUUUAGAGCGGCCCGCGUCUGAUUAGCUAGUUGGUGAGGUAAAGGCUCACCAAGGCGACGAUCAGUAGCUGGUCUGAGAGGAUAAUCAGCCACAUUGGGACUGAGACACGGCCCAAACUCCUACGGGAGGCAGCAGUGGGGAAUCUUGCGCAAUGGGCGAAAGCCUGACGCAGCCAUGCCGCGUGAAUGAUGAAGGUCUUAGGAUUGUAAAAUUCUUUCACCGGGGACGAUAAUGACGGUACCCGGAGAGGAAGCCCCGGCUAACUUCGUGCCAGCCGCCGCGGUAAUAC